rnacentral:rRNA from 1 species
GUGAGGAAUAUUGGACAAUGGGCGCAAGCCUGAUCCAGCCAUGCCGCGUGCAGGAAGACGCAUCUAUGGUGUGUAAACUGCUUUUGUACGGGAAGAAACACUCCCUCGUGAGGGAGCUUGACGGUACCGUAAGAAUAAGGAUCGGCUAACUCCGUGCCAGCAGCCGCGGUAAUACGGAGGAUCCAAGCGUUAUCCGGAAUCAUUGGGUUUAAAGGGUCCGUAGGCGGUUUAAUAAGUCAGUGGUGAAAGCCCAUCGCUCAACGAUGGAACGGCCAUUGAUACUGUUAGACUUGAAUUACAAGGGAGUAACUAGAAUAUGUAGUGUAGCGGUGAAAUGCUUAGAUAUUACAUGGAAUACCAAUUGCGAAGGCAGGUUACUACUUGUGGAUUGACGCUGAUGGACGAAAGCGUGGGGAGCGAACAGGAUUAGAAACCCCAGUAGUCC